rnacentral:rRNA from 1 species
UACGUAGGGUGCGAGCGUUGUCCGGAAUUACUGGGCGUAAAGAGCGCGUAGGUGGUUUGUCGCGUUGUUCGUGAAAACUCACAGCUUAACUGUGGGCGUGCGGGCGAUACGGGCAGACUGGAGUACUGCAGGGGAGACUGGAAUUCCUGGUGUAGCGGUGGAAUGCGCAGAUAUCAGGAGGAACACCGGUGGCGAAGGCGGGUCUCUGGGCCGAUACUGACGCUGAGGAGCGAAAGCGUGGGGAGCGAACAGG